UGGUUCUUUUUCUUUAUUGUUUUCUGGAAAUAGAAGUAAUUAAGUAUAGAUACUACUGGUUUGUUUCUUCCAGUAGCUGAUAAUACUAAUACCAAUAAUAAUAAUAAUAAGAGUAAAGUAAUACUACUUCAACUGUCUUUAUUUAUCCAUUGGACUGGCCAUUUAAAAUCUAAACUUCUAAACACAAAUCAAACCAUCAUCCUUGUAGAAUCUUUAAUAGGAGUGGGCUAAAGAUCCUGGUUUUGUUGACAGGAUUUAUUGGUUCAUGAAGAGCAAGAGGUAAGUACAAGCCUAACUACCCUCUAGCUCACAGACCUGCCCGGUGAAUAGAGCUUUGUUUUUUUGAUGGGCUUGUGAUGACUUUGAAAUCAAUUGCUCAUUCAUUACAGUAAAAAAAAAAAAAAAAUUGUUUUGAACACGACAGCAAAAAUAACUUUAAGCACAACUUAAUAAUAAUAGAUCACCAAUUUUAGUUAAUAAUUUUAUGCUAUACUCUUGGGUGAGGGAAGACUCGGACACUCAAUAUGAGAUCAGCAAGCUAUGUUUAUUGCAGAGAGUAUCAGACACUUAUACAGCACAUAAUAAGCUUAUGAAUAUUCUGUAAGCCAAGCGAUCUAUUGGUUAAACUAUACCAUCAACUCUUCCUCAUUCCUUUGGGCCUACAUUCUCUAUUUCCCACGUCUCUCUGUCUACUUGUUAUCCUACCCAGCUAGGCCCAGGCACACGCUAUCUUGCAGGUGCAAAACUCAAAAAUACCUGUGUUCGGUACUUUCCCAGCUCCUGGUCGGCUAACGAGCGAAUGUCUGCGUGACCUCUGUCAUGGAGCCAUUUCUCCACACUAUACUAUCAAAGUUUAAAGGUAAAUUAUUAUAUAUUAGGAGAUGGUGUAAAGUGUAUGUUGUAAUGUGUAGGAUAUAUACAAAGAUACGUACUUGAAAGUCCGUAGAGGAAACAAAUUUUUACGCCUUCUCUUUGACUGUUUGUCAUAUAUUUGGUUUUAUUUCCCAGGGAUCAGUGAAUUUUAACUCUGGAGUCCUCUAUGCUAAGGAUGCUCAGCUUACAGAUGAUGAAAUGUUCAGUAAUGUAUUUGCUGGAGCUGUGCUUACCCAAGGUUUGGGUAAAACAAGCUUUGGGUUCCCUCUGUCUCACUGGGAGUUGCCCAGUUCAGUUCCAUCUGGUGAAAUUCACCCUGAGACCUUACAGAACCAGCUCCAACUACGUGAGAGCCAUUUGCAGUUCUCUCCAGACGCCUGGAGAAUGGGUGACGUUUCUGAGGAUCCGGCGAGCGUGCUUCUAUCAAAACUCAGUCUGUGAAAUUCCUGGGGAAAACCCUUCUGUGUCCUGAAGGGUUCAAACUCUGGCGAGGAUCCAGUUAUCAGGUGCUCACCUGGAUGGUUCCAGCUGCCAAAGCGAAAGACUCUCGUAUCCUUGUCGUCGGGCUCGGUGCUGUCCAAGAAGAUACAGAGACUAAAAAAAUCAUAAGAAGCAAAAUAUGACUGCAGGGAAAAGAAGCUGGAGAGAACAGAAGACUCAUCACGGCGGGACAGCGUGAGGACUGAAAGUGUAAGAAGAUGUGGAGGGAAACAGAGAAUCUGACAGGAGCAGCGAACGCACGAGUGCACGAAUUUUGCUUUUUGCUUGGAUGUAAACUCAGGAGUUGAAAGGAAUUUGGGAGUGAGAAGGGACAUUUCAGAAGGAGAAGAAGAAAAAGAAGUUGUUGUUGUUGUUGCUACAGUCCUGGCAAAAGCUUUUGUUCUAGCUAAUAAAAGAAGUUAGUUUAAAAAACAAAAA